AUGGAAGAAAUGCGAACUUACUUACCUGAGAAAAGUGCAUUGGAUUGUGACGAUGAUGACAGUGGAGGUUCGCCAUUGCAACAGAAGAAGAAAACAUUGAGCCCUGCUAAAACCUCUGACCCUCCCCCGAUCCCUAUCUCUCGUGUCUUCGGUGAGGAUGGCAUGUGGCCGCCGCGUGUAGGACAUCAUCGUCGUGGAAUGGAUCAGCUAGCGACGAGGUCUCCGUCUUCGUCACACGCCUAUCAGUCGUGGGUGCCUCUGCCGCCCGCAGAGGCCUGCUCCACUGCGGAAUGCGGUGCUCAGAGUUAUGAUGCUACUACUCACUUUGAGACAACUGUGACAGGUGUUCUUAACACUUUCGGCAAAAGUGCUGACAUUUCUUCAGCUUUACAUAUGCAUGAGUGA
rnacentral:rRNA from 1 species